rnacentral:lncRNA from 1 species
UGAAAGAAAAUGUACAAUCAAAUGAAGUAAAAAUCUUAAGCAAAUCCGCAUGUUCCAUAGAAUAUCUAUGGAUAGAAAUUUCAUGCUCUAAUAAGAAUAUAACAUUAGGUAUCUAUUAUCGACCACCUGACCAGGAUGGUGAUAGUGAUGAUGAAAUGCUAAGGGAAAUUAGAGAGGCUAUCAAAAUUAAGAACUCAAUAAUAGUGGGGGAUUUCAAUUAUCCCCAUAUUGACUGGGAACGUUUCACUUCAGGACGAAAUGCAGAGAUAAAAUUUCUCGAUACUUUAAAUGACUGCUUCAUGGAGCAGCUGGUACUGGAACCCACAAGGGGAGAGGCAACUCUAGAUUUAGUCCUGAGUGGAGCGCAGGAGCUGGUCCAAGAGGUAACUAUAGCAGGACCGCUUGGAAAUAGUGACCAUAAUACAAUCGCAUUCAACAUCCCUGUGGUGGGAAGAACAUCUCAACAGCCCAACACUGUGGCAUUUAAUUUCAAAAGGGGGAACUAUGCAAAAAUGAGGGGGUUAGUUAAACAGAAGUUAAAAGGUACAGUGACUAAAGUGAAAUCCCUGACAGCUGCAUGGGCGCUUUUUAAAGACACCAUAAUAGAGGCCCAACUUCAAUGUAUCCCCCAAAUUAAGAAACCUAGUAAAAGAACUAAAAAAGAGCCACUGUGGCUUAACAACCACGUAAAAGAAGCAGUGAGAGAUAAAAAGGCUUCCUUUAAAAAGUGGAAGUCAAAUCCUAGUGAGGCAAAUAGAAAGGAGCAUAAACGCUGCCAAAUUAAGUGCAAGAAUGUAAGAAGAAAAGCCAAAGAGGAGUUUGAAGAACGGCUAGCCAAAAACUCCAAAGGUAAUAGCAAAAUGUUUGUUUUUUAAGUACAUCAGAAGCAGGAAGCCUGCUAAACAACCAGUGGAGCCCCUUGAUGAUCGAGAUACAAAAGGAGCGCUUAAAGACGAUAAAGUCAUUGCGGAGAAACUAAAUGGAUUCUUUGCUUCAGCCUUCACAGCUGAGGAUGUUUGGGAG